GACGAACGCUGGCGGCGUGCCUAAUACAUGCAAGUCGAGCGGACCGAAGGGAGCUUGCUCCUUUAGGUUAGCGGCGGACGGGUGAGUAACACGUGGGCAACCUGCCCUGCAGACUGGGAUAACUUCGGGAAACCGGAGCUAAUACCGGAUAACACCGAAAACCGCAUGGUUUUCGGUUGAAAGGCGGCUUUUAGCUGUCACUGCAGGAUGGGCCCGCGGCGCAUUAGCUAGUUGGUGAGGUAACGGCUCACCAAGGCGACGAUGCGUAGCCGACCUGAGAGGGUGACCGGCCACACUGGGACUGAGACACGGCCCAGACUCCUACGGGAGGCAGCAGUAGGGAAUCUUCCGCAAUGGACGAAAGUCUGACGGAGCAACGCCGCGUGAGCGAAGAAGGUCUUCGGAUCGUAAAGCUCUGUUGUCAGGGAAGAACAAGUACCGUUCGAACAGGGCGGUACCUUGACGGUACCUGACGAGGAAGCCACGGCUAACUACGUGCCAGCCGCCGCAGUAA
rnacentral:rRNA from 1 species